rnacentral:rRNA from 1 species
GUUUGAUCCUGGCUCAGAGUGAACGCUGGCGGCGUGCUUAACACAUGCAAGUCGAGCGAAGUAUAAAUUGUAGCAAUACAGUUUGUACUUAGCGGCAGACGGGUGAGUAACACGUAGACAACUUACCUCAUAGAGGGGGAUAGCCCGCCGAAAGGCGGGGUAAUACCGCGUAAGAUAUUUCCGGGGCAUCUUGGAAAUAAGAAACAUCCGCAAGGAUGGCUAUGAGAGGGGUCUGCGGCCUAUCAGCUAGUUGGUGAGGUAACGGCUCACCAAGGCAACGACGGGUAUCCGGCCUGAAAGGGUGAUCGGACACACUGACACUGAGACACGGGUCAGACUCCUACGGGAGGCAGCAGUGAGGAAUUUUGGACAAUGGGGGAGACCCUGAUCCAGCGACGCCGCGUGAAGGAUGAAGGUCUUCGGAUUGUAAACUUCUUUUAUUUGGGACUAAGAAAUCUGUGGAAACAUAGAGAGUGAAUGUACCAGAUGAAUAAGCAACGGCUAACUUCGUGCCAGCAGCCGCGGUAAUACGAAGGUUGCAAGCGUUACUCGGAAUUACUAGGCGUAAAGGGCAGGUAGGUGGUUUGGUAAGUCUAUUGUGAAAGCUCCCGGCUUAACCGGGAGAGGCCAAUGGAUACUACCAAGCUUGAGUAUAGGAGAGGUUACUGGAAUUCCCGGUGUAGCGGUGAAAUGCGCAGAUAUCGGGAGGAACACCAAUGGCGAAAGCAGGUAACUGGACUAUUACUGACACUCAACUGCGAAAGCUAGGGGAGCAAACAGGAUUAGAUACCCUGGUAGUCCUAGCCGUANACGAUGCACAUUAGACGUGAGGGGUAUCGACCCCCUUCGUGUCGACGC